UACGGGGGGAGCAAGCGUUGUUCGGAUUUACUGGGCGUAAAGGGCGCGUAGGCGGCCACCGCAAGUCGGUUGUGAAAUCUCUGGGCUUAACCCAGAAAGGUCAACCGAUACUGCGGGGCUAGAGUGCAGAAGGGGCAACUGGAAUUCUCGGUGUAGCGGUGAAAUGCGUAGAUAUCGAGAGGAACACCUGCGGCGAAGGCGGGUUGCUGGGCUGACACUGACUCUGAAGCGCGAAAGCUAGGGGAGCGAACGGG
rnacentral:rRNA from 1 species